rnacentral:sRNA from 1 species
GGGGGAGAGGAAGUGCACAUGCAGGUCGAUGCCGCCUGCCGUGCAGAUGAGGCCCUCGCCUGAGAUGGCCUCGGUGGAGGCGCCGACGACAAAGUCCACGUCGUCCAUAUUGUCGGGGUUGCCGCCCUUGCCGAUUGCGAGAAUCUUGCCGUCACGCAAUCCGAUGUCCGCCUUGUAGAUGCCGGUGUAGUCGAUGAUCAGGACGCCGGAGAUGAUGGUAUCGGCGACCAUCGGGUCGGAUUCGCGGGUGGCGGUCGCAGAGACGCCCAUGCCGUCACG